CCUACGGGUGGCUGCAGUGGGGAAUAUUGGACAAUGGGGGCAACCCUGAUCCAGCCAUGCCGCGUGUGUGAAGAAGGCCCUCGGGUUGUAAAGCACUUUCAGUGAGGAAGAACGCCUGGUGGUUAAUACCCAUCAGGAAAGACAUCACUCACAGAAGAAGCACCGGCUAACUCCGUGCCAGCAGCCGCGGUAAUACGGAGGGUGCGAGCGUUAAUCGGAAUUACUGGGCGUAAAGCGCGCGUAGGUGGCUUGAUAAGCCGGUUGUGAAAGCCCCGGGCUCAACCUGGGAACGGCAUCCGGAGCUGUCAAGCUAGAGUGCAGGAGAGGAAGGUAGAAUUCCCGGUGUAGCGGUGAAAUGCGUAGAGAUCGGGAGGAAUACCAGUGGCGAAGGCGGCCUUCUGGACUGACACUGACACUGAGGUGCGAAAGCGUGGGUAGCAAACAGGCUUAGAUACCCUGGUAGUC
rnacentral:rRNA from 1 species